GGGCCCGCACAAGCGGUGGAGUAUGUGGUUUAAUUCGAUGCAACGCGAAGAACCUUACCAGGGUUUGACAUCCUGCGAAUCUCUUGGAAACGAGAGAGUGCCUUCGGGAACGCAGUGACAGGUGGUGCAUGGCUGUCGUCAGCUCGUGUCGUGAGAUGUUGGGUUAAGUCCCGCAACGAGCGCAACCCACGUCUUUAGUUGCCAGCAUUUAGUUGGGCACUCUAGAGAGACCGCCGGUGAUAAACCGGAGGAAGGUGUGGAUGACGUCAAGUCAUCAUGCCCCUUACAUCCUGGGCUACACACGUACUACAAUGCUACGGACAAAGGGCAGGCAAGUUCAGUCGAGGAGCAAG
rnacentral:rRNA from 1 species